GUCCAGACACGUGAAGUUCUGCAGCAGCGCCCACUUUUCACGCUGGAACCUCGCGCUGGAAUCACGCGCCGCGGGCCUCUCCAGCACCCAGAACACGCCGGUGCCCAGCGCCAGGCGAGGGACCCCAGCUGAUCACCACUCGUCUCUGAACUUGAGAGGCAAGAGGAGUCUUGACCAGUGGGUUUGUCCAUUCCCUGCUGCUGAAGAGGCCCAGGGUCCAGUGACUUGCUCGGACAUCACAUCUCCUUUGCUCUCUGGAGAGCUCCUGAGACCAGCCCUGGCUGGGGAAGGAAUGGGAAAGGACAUGGCACAGGAAGUCCGGAAGGCAUACAGAGG